GAUGAACGCUGGCGGCGUGCCUAAUACAUGCAAGUCGAGCGAACAGAUGAGGAGCUUGCUCCUCUGACGUUAGCGGCGGACGGGUGAGUAACACGUGGAUAACCUACCUAUAAGACUGGGAUAACUUCGGGAAACCGGAGCUAAUACCGGAUAAUAUAUUGAACCGCAUGGUUCAAUAGUGAAAGACGGUUUUCCUGUCACUUAUAGAUGGAUCCGCGCCGCAUUAGCUAGUUGGUAAGGUAACGGCUUACCAAGGCGACGAUGCGUAGCCGACCUGAGAGGGUGCUCGGCCACACGGGAAGUGGCAAAAGGUCCAGACUCCUACGGGAGGCAGCAGUAGGGAAUCUUCAGCAAUGGGCGAAAGCCUGCCGGAGCAACGCCGAGUGCGUGAUGAAGGUCUUCGGAUCGUAAAACUCUGUUAUUAGGGAAGAACAAAUGUGUAAGUAACUAUGCACGUCUUGACGGUACCUAAUCAGAAAGCCACGGCUAACUACGUG
rnacentral:rRNA from 1 species